rnacentral:rRNA from 1 species
AACGAACGCUGGCGGCGUGCCUAACACAUGCAAGUCGUGCGAGAAAGUUCCUUCGGGAGCGAGUAAAGCGGCGCACGGGUGAGUAACACGUAGGUAACCUGCCCCCCAGUCUGGAACAACUAGAGGAAACUCUAGCUAAUGCCGGAUGAGACCACGAUCCCGUUCGGGGGUUGCGGCCAAAGAUGGCCUCUACUUGUAAGCUAUCGCUGAGGGAUGGGCCUGCGGGCCAUUAGCUUGUUGGUGAGGUAACGGCUCACCAAGGCUGUGAUGGCUAGCUGGUCUGAGAGGAUGACCAGCCACACUGGGACUGAGACACGGCCCAGACUCCUACGGGAGGCAGCAGUGGGGAAUAUUGCGCAAUGGGCGAAAGCCUGACGCAGCGACGCCGCGUGGGUGAUGAAGGCCUUCGGGUCGUAAAGCCCUGUCGCAGGGGAAGAAUAAGCAUCGGUAUAAUACGCCGGUGCCCUGACGGUACCCUGCAAGAAAGCACCGGCUAACUCCGUG